rnacentral:lncRNA from 1 species
AAAAAUUGGGAUCAAUUUGAAGCAUACUACUAUUUUUUAUGAUUUUUUAAAGAUGAAUGAAAUAAUAUGAAAUAUUAAAAGAAUUGGAGGGAAAAUAAUAUUCAAAUCAAUUCAGAAUUAAUUAGAGCCAUCAGAUCAAGCGCGAAAUCCACAUCAAACGGUCCAAAUUUGAAAGCCAAAACGCACAAUUUCAUUUAUACAAUCAGCA